rnacentral:rRNA from 1 species
AACGAACGCUAGCGGCAGGCCUAACACAUGCAAGUCGAGCGCGCCCUUCGGGGUGAGCGGCGGACGGGUGAGUAACGCGUGGGAACGUGCCCUUUUCUACGGAAUAGCCUCGGGAAACUGAGAGUAAUACCGUAUACGCCCUUUGGGGGAAAGAUUUAUCGGAAAAGGAUCGGCCCGCGUUGGAUUAGGUAGUUGGUGGGGUAAUGGCCUACCAAGCCGACGAUCCAUAGCUGGUUUGAGAGGAUGAUCAGCCACACUGGGACUGAGACACGGCCCAGACUCCUACGGGAGGCAGCAGUGGGGAAUCUUAGACAAUGGGGGCAACCCUGAUCUAGCCAUGCCGCGUGAGUGAUGAAGGCCUUAGGGUUGUAAAGCUCUUUCAGCUGGGAAGAUAAUGACGGUACCAGCAGAAGAAGCCCCGGCUAACUCCGUG